rnacentral:lncRNA from 1 species
AUAGCUUCCAGCCUCAUGUCAGGAGUCCCCUGCUCAACAGCGUGCUCCUGGUGAUACUGCCACCCGUAACGGGUACUGGCUUUGCUAACAUCCUGACGAGACGUCGGGGAGAGACGGGAAGUGGCAGGUUGGGCAAGAUAGAGGAGGAAAGGACUCUACCUCAUGGCUUGUCCAGAAGAGGGCAGGGCCACCCCUGCAGCCAGGCCUCCCGGGCCCUGGAGGUAGGAGGGGGACGAUGGCCUCUAAGAGCACUCUGAGACCAGGAGCCUGUUCUCUCGGGCCUGAAGGCUUCGCUUCCACUGUUCUACGCUGCCGCCCUGGCCUGGCCACCUCCCCUCCACUGUGUGGCUGGCUUUUCUCUGCCUUCUGCUGCCUGAUGGGAUCUCCCACUCACCUCCACGAGGAUCUGAGAGGAAAGGGUGCUGAGGAGAGGAGCGUGGAGUGGGCAGGCUCUUGAUGCCAAGCCAAGAAUCUGCAUGGCUCAUUUGAAACUUCGCAGUGCCCUUUAUCUCUUGUUCUCUUUUAUGUAUAAGCUCGUCUUUCUCCCAUACAGUUGUAAACCCCAAAGGGUAGGGACUGUAUUCGGUUCCUUAUUUAUAUCCUGUAAGACAGUGACUCUCAAACUCAUCAGAAUCACCUGGGGAGUUUUAAAAACUUGAUUCCUCCAGAAACCAUAAAGACCAAAGAUUUAAAAAUAUCACCAUAUUAAAACAGAAUGAAGCAAAAUCCUUCUGUAAAGCUAAACAAACAAACAAACUCAUGAAUCAGUCAGAAGAAAUUAUAAACAAGGGGAAAACAGUAUUUGGAAUAUAGAUGGAAGACACACUAAUUUCUUUAAUUUGCAACAAAUGUCUAUAAAUAAGAAAUAUACAAACAACUCAAUAAAUGCUGGGCCAGGAAUCUGAACUGGCAGAACAUGGAAAAGAAAUACCAGUGACCAAGAAACAUAUGAAGAGCUGCUCAUCCUUCCUCAGAAAUAAAGAGACGCAAAUCAGAACAAUGCCAGACCACUUUUCAUGAAUCUGAUUAGCAAAAAUUAUAAAGUUUCAUGAUGCCCAUUGCUGAUGAGAGUAUGGAAGCAGAUGCCAGUGAAUGCAAACUUGGUGGAUUUUGGCACCUGUGUGACAAGGUGGGGCGGUGGUUCUCACACCUGCAUGAGCUUCUGAAUCACAUGAUGAACUUUUAAAAACAUAGAUUCUCUGCGCCCCCAUCCCAUACUGCCAUAAGGCACCCGCGUGUAACUAAGGGCACAAUUUGUGAAGUUCGAAAUGGUAAUAGAGACCAGACUAGUAAAUUUCAACUAAAGGAAUUUUGUCAACAUACAUCAACAUUUUUAAAACAUGAGUAACCUUUGACCCAGCAAUUCUACUGAUGGGAGCUGAUUCUGAAAUUUCCCACAGAAGAGUAUCAACGUCGGCAAGAAUGGAUGCCCACAGCAGCAUUAUUUGUAUAGCAAACAACCUCAAUGUCCAUCAAUAGGAACCUGGAUAAAUAAACUGUGGCACACUCUUAGAUCUUUUAAAGAGAUUUAGUAGGAACUCCAUUUGCUGAUAUAGAGCAGUCUCUGAGUUAUGUUGUGCAAUGAAAAAAUCAAGCAGCAGAGCAGUAUAAAUGGUGUAAUCCAUUUUCCACAUAACUUUUAAAAUGACACACCAUAUACUUUGGUAAAUGCACAAAUUCUUUUUCAAUGGAAAAUCUACAAGAAGCUGAUAACAGUGGCAACUUUGAGGGAAGGAUGAGAAGAGAGGUUCUUACCUUUCAUUCAGUACUGCUUGAUUUUCCUACUUCCUACUUUGUGCAUUGAUUAGUUUUAGUGGAGAACUUCAGUAAGUGUCAUCUGAAAGGUGGAGUUAUGGGACAAUUUUGGUUUCUCCUUUAGAGUUUUCUGUAAAGGAUAUUCAAUAAUUGAAGAUUCUCAGGCCAUAUACCAGAUACACCAAGUUUGGGUGGAGAUGCUGGCAUGGGACUCUAGAAAUCAGCUUGUCGUGUGAUUCUGCUCAUCAGUCAGGUUUGAGACUCACUGCAGAAGAUUCUGGAAGAAAAAUGCUCUCUUCUCUAGCUCAGGGGUUAUGAGGAUGAGAGGGUGGGGUGGCUGCAGCCCUUUUGUUUCCAUGAAAGGAGAACCUGAAUGACCUUGUGCAACCUAAGGUCAAAGAAAUGCAUGGCUGGCAAGUAAACCACAGAGAGGAACUUGUCCGCUGGUACAUCAGUAGGCCACAGAAUCAUGCCUUUCCCGAAGAAGGACGUCCUGUGUCUAGACUUUUCAGUUAUGAAGCCAAUACGUCCUCUUUGUUGUUUAAUGCAGCUUGAGUUAGGUCUUUUGUCACAUGCAAUAUUAAGAAUCCUAACUGAUAGACCUCCACUGAGACAAGCUGAGUAUGUCUUUAUCUCUUGCAGACUGAAAUUGCCUAAUUUAUAAAGUAUUUCAUGAUGUUUGCAAGAUAAACCCUUGUCUGCUGCCUUGGGCUACAUCUGAUGAUUGCCUGCAAUAUUUCUGCCUCUAGAAAUGAACUGUCAAACCAAGAAGUAUGUCCUUGGAAUGCAUCCUCCACUUUAGCAAAAGAAUUAUGUGUUUUGUUUGCUCUUCAUCAUGUAACUCUUGAAUAAAUUUGGAUGCAACAGAUUAAGGGCAUAACCAGGAAAUA